UAUUUAGCCUCUCUGAACUAUGCAGAAACACCUUUUGAUGCAGUUACAACUGCUUUCUUACAGAUUUCUUGAUUUUCCAUGAUGUCUCAAAGGGAAACAGUGUGUUUGAGUUAAAGUAUGCCUCCUUUUCACUCCGAUAUCAUAAAGUCUUGGAAUGAUCUUUUAGGCUUUCGUGCUAAUUGUUUAAAGGUACAAAAAAUCUUAGUGUGUUUGAUUUUGAAGUAAGCAAUGAAAAAUCUACAAUUUUUUUGGUAUUUUGCGAAUGCUACGUAUCUCACCUUCUAGUGAGACAUAUAGCACUCACUAGAAGGUGAAAGUCCUUCCAGUCUCAAGUCUGCAGUCUAAAAAUAGCAGGACAAACUUUUAUUUAGCUCCACUACUUUAUGUUGCUCCAUCACAUUAAAAUACAUGAAGGUCUGGAACUGUGACGUUAAAAAAAAAAAAGUCUUAAAACGCAAUGAAUGCUUUUGCACUGUAUAACCAGAAUGAAUUGAAAUCAGGGAGAAAAACUCCUCCACAAACAGCAAAUCUGUUUGCCUUUAACCUUACCUAAUGACAACCCUUCACCUCCUCCCGUCUCGGGGUCAGGUGACCUCUCCGUCUGCCUUGAAUCAGCUGGGAUUAGUCAACAUACCAGCUGCCUUCGGCUGAUGGCAGUAGUCCAGUAACACCAGCAAGUAAGGAGCGUGCUUUAUUGUUUCCUUUUGAUUCUCUUAUUGAUAAUUAAGAAGCCCGUAUGGGGAUACGGGAGUUAAAACAAAAGACGAUCUAUAGGGAACGAGUAGAAGAAAUCAGGACGAGGUGUCGAGGAUGAUCUCCUGAUCUUUGCACCGCAGCAGCUUAAUGACUUAAUGUUCAUUUGAGGUUAGUGUUAUACUCAUUUCACCUUUGCUUAGAUUAAAUAAUAAUAAUAAUAAAAAAAACAGUUUUGGUUUUGUUGUUAUAUGCUUGUUUUUCACUGACUUCUUUGGUACAUUGGUCUUCUUGUAAUGCCAAGUUAAGGAUGUCCGUUCACAAGUUAGAGCAGAUUUGUGUUUAAGUUCAUUCACUUUAGAUCAUUUUAUCUUUCUGUUAUUGUGUCAUCCUUCCAUCUGUUUUUAUGGUGAUUUACUGGGCGGUGAUCUAAUCUUAGAGCGGAGUAGGCAAAAUCCCAGUAGACAGGAUUACUGGUUUGAGUGAACAGUUGGCACUAAUCAAAGGCUUCCCUCUUGUCCCUCUAAUGCUGUUACAUGAAGCACGGACAUGUAACCGGGGCAGAUAGUCCUUUAUUUGAGCCUCAAAGAGAAAAGCUGUUUUUAAUUUUAUUUUCUGCUUCACUGAUUGUCUUCCAAGUCACUUGUCUGCUCUCCUCUGUUUCGGGCCGAUCUUUUACCUCGUAGCUCCCAUCAGGCAUCAUCUUCUGAGCUUCCAUGGCGUCUUUGGACGAAGAGCUCACCUGCUCCGUUUGCCGAGACAGCUUCAGCCAGGCCCACCCUCUACCUUGUGGCCACAGCUUCUGCCCCGCCUGCAUCCGUGAGGCCUGGAGCGCUCAGGUGGAAGGAAAGGGUCGCUUCACCUGCCCCCAGUGUCAGGAGGAGCACGGCGAAGUCCUGUGCGACUGCUGCCCUCUGCAGGCGGAGGACAGUCGGCCGCCGAUGGCCGUAAAGACCUGCUUGAGGUGCGAGGUGUCGCUCUGUGCCGACCACCUUCGGCCCCAUCUGGAGAGGCCGGCGUUCAGCUCCCACCUGCUGGUGGAGCCGCUGGGGGACCUGUCCCAGCGGAGGUGUCCGGCACACGCGGAGGUAUUCCGCUACUACUGCGUGGACGAGCGGGUGUACGUCUGCGGGGACUGCCUGCUGGAGGGGGCACACACGCUGCACAAGGUGAAGCCGCUGAGGCAGGUGGAGGAGGACCUGAAGGUCAUCUUACAGACGCUCCUCAUCAAAGCAGAAAAGAAGCUAAAAGAUGGAGAGAAAGCUCUCAAAGACCACGAAAACAUCGACUCUGCAAUGGCGGACUCCCUGAAGCGGGACGACGGCCAGGUGGAGCGGCUGGACACGGACCUGCAGGCCCAGGUGAAGAAGCUGGUGGCGGCUCUGAAGGAGAUCACCAAGAGGGAAAGGCAGCAGAUCAUAGAGCGUGUGCACCAGGACUGCGCCAAAGUGAGAGAUGACAUGAGCCAGACGGCGCACAUUCAGCGCUACCUGAACCUGCUGCUGGCAGAGACCGACCCUUUCCUGCUCAUCUGGGCGUUUCAGUCAGACGACACAAAAUUGCUAGCAGACCUGAACUGCCCACUUUUCCUCCCUGAGCCCAUCUGUGUGGACAGGAAGCACAUCCUGGAAGACGUAGAGGGCAAAUAUCGGGAGUUCAUCACGUCCACCCUCCGCUGCCUCAGCGAGCUCAAGAGGGAGCUCUUAACCAGCCCUCUGUCCCUGGACACAAACUCUGCCCAUCCUCUACUGAGCAUCUCUGACGACCUGCGUUCAGUCACGCGUGUAAAAAGCCGGCUGCCCUGCGCCGCUCACCCCGAGCGGUUUGACCACUGGCCACAGGUCCUCACCGUCCAGACCUUCUCCUCUGGGACUCACUACUGGGAGCUGGAGGCUGAGGGAUUCUGGGAUGUCGCCGUCUGCUAUCGGAGCAUCGGACGGAAGGGGAAGGAAGGGAACGCUUUUGGAAACAACAAGGUGUCGUGGAGCCUGACGCAGCAGCAUGACAAAAAGCUGUCUGCCUGGCACAACCGCAGGAAGACACGGCUCACGUACCAAAUGGUCGGCAAUCGAGUCGCAGUUGCAGUGGACUACAGCUCCGGGACCAUCACCUUCUCCGAAGUGGGACCUUCCAACACCCUGAUCCACCUCCAUACUUUCUCCACCAGCUUCACCCAGCCUGUGUGUUUGGGCUUCGGACUCUAUAAAGCCGAGCUCAAGAGCCGCAUCUCUGUCGUCAAAGUGUGAGCAGGAGAUCGACGCGACUGGGACUUUUUCCGUGAGCCACACUCACUUCCUGGCUGACUACUGGCGUUCUCCUCCUAAAAACUAACCUUCAACUCGAGUCAUGUCUCUGCUCUUACUGGAAACUAGAAGAAGAAGAAGAAGAAGAAGAAAGAAAAAACAACUGACACUCUCUCUGUAACUUUGCUCUUU